rnacentral:rRNA from 1 species
GGGGGAAUUUGUAAAAAGAGCGGGGGGGUGAGGUGCCGCCCGAGUUCCCUGGAACGGGACGCCACAGAGGGUGAGAGCCCCGUCUGGCUGGCCACCGANCCUCUGUAAAGCUCCUUCGACNAGUCGAGUAGUUUGGGAANGCUGCUCAAAAUGGGAGGUAUAUGUCUUCUAAAGCUAAAUAUUGGCCAGAGACCGAUAGCGCACAAGUAGAGUGAUCGAAAGAUGAAAAGCACCUUGAAAAGAGGGUUAAACAGUACGUGAAAUUGUUGAAAGGGAAGCGCUUGUGACCAGACUUGGGCGCGGCGGAUCAUCCGGGGUUCUCUCCGGUGCACUUCGCCGCGUUCAGGCCAGCAUCAGUUCGUCGCGGGGGAAAAAGGCUUCGGGAACGUGGCUCCUCCGGGAGUGUUAUANCCCGUUGCAUAAUACCCUGCGGUGGACUGAGGACCGCGCAUCUGCAAGGAUGCUGGC